ACAGUACAACUGACAGGUAUAUCUAUACCGGGCUAUAAGCAAUAGAUGUAUGCAUCUAUGGGACAGUA
rnacentral:ncRNA from 1 species